UAUACGGGAAACACAUUGUGACUUUCUAUUGUACCACAAUCCUGAGUGUUGGAUAUGUUACAUGUACGUCCGUUGUGAGGCCAAUAAGAGGCCCUGACAACCUGCCACAACAGUACGCCACAUAUGCCCAUACAAAGAGACAAUAGAUAACUAAAGAGAAUUGACAACUGCCCAUGUGUUGUGUAAUGGCAGACCCUGCUGCCAUAUGUGACCAAGUCUCAGGUUGAUGAUCUCACUUUCUGCCUCAUUACUGAUAUUACAGAGACGGUUUGUUAUUUAAUAAACAAAGAUAUGGUUAAGAAUAUUAGGAAAAAGUUCUGUAAGUUUAACAUAAGAUUGUAGAUUUUAUGCAUAUCUGUUUUAGGAUUAGUAGAAUGUUAAAGAGCUCUUGUUAAGACUUGUUUUGGGAGGGCGAGUUAACAUACUGACCAGCUCCUUUUGGUGUAAUGGUCAAUAAAUGUUUGGAAUUUGAAUUGGAUAUUUAAUUUCUUACGUAAAUUUCUAAUUUAUUUAAAUUACUUAAUUGACCAUAAACUUAUAUUAAAAUCUGUAUAUACGAUGAAGUUUGUAUUAGAGUUAACCAUUUGGACGACGUGGUGGGUGGAAGGAGGAGGGUCUAUGACGUGCAAACAGUUCAGUUACCUCCAGGAGACAGUCGAGGCAGUGUGUCGCUCUGAGCUCUACAUCUUACUCCACGUUUCUUCUACGGUGACGGCUUCAGCUGGUGGUUACUGUAGUGUUAAGACAGCCACCAUAUUGCUGCCUCACUGAUCAUGGUUAAUAACUGAAGUUCCUCGUGUCAACCAUUGAGAUGAGUUAACGACCCUUGGGGAAUUGAACAGCGCCAUAACAACUGAAAAUGAUAACUACAGACUGAGACAGAUGUAAUGAGACAAAUCUCACAAGAAGAAGAUUACAUAUAGGUAGAAUAUUGAUAGUAUAAGAGUAUA